CUUACCUUGAUUGUGGACUAUACCUAGUGACCUGCUCUUAGUGAACAGAAUGUGGCAAAAAGUGACAGUAUGUUACUUUUGAGACUAAGUUAUAAAAAGCCUUUGUCUUCUUCUCUUGUGCCCUCCCUUGCUCGCUCUGGUGGAAGCCAGCUGAAAUUUUGAGAGCCACCUUAUAGAAAGCCUAACAGCAAAGACUGGAGAGAGGCUUCCAGCCAACAGCCAGCAAGGAAUUGAAGCCCUCAGUCCAAUAGCAGUGAGGAAUUGAAUCCUGCCAACAGCCUCGUGGAUGGGUUGCUUGCUGCCUGACUCUAACUCCUGCUACUACUGCAAACACCACUGCCAUGAAUAUCCUCAGCAAGACCCCCUUCCAGACCUGCAUGAACAGUUGUGUGAAAUGUAUAUGCACAAAGGGACUGCAAGGGAAGACCCAGAGACUAGGGAAGAACUUGGAACAAUAAUCUCAGUUUCUUCAAUUCCUAAACUGAGAGUAUUGCUGUUUUUAAAUGAAGACCAACUGCUUCAUGCUGGGCUUCAGACAUGAGAGGCUAGGAGUAGGAGGCAUGCCUUGUUCAAAGAUAUCCAGUUCUCCCAGGACCAUUUGUUGAAAAGGCAGGCACCUCAUUUUAAUGAAGAGGAAACUGAGGCCCAGAAGGAGAAGUGGCAUGCCCAAGGCUGUGCCAGAAGCAAAGUGUAAAAUAGAUCCUGAGCCUCCGACUCCUGUAACUCCUCCAGGGGACAGCAGCAUCUCUUCUGACUCUUUGCUUCCAUGUCUUGAGGAAGCAGCUUCCUGCCUAUGGCCAUCUGAGGAAGCCAUCUUGGAAGCAGACCCCCCAGCCCCAGUCAAGCCUUCAGAUGACUGCAGUCUCAGCUGACAUCUUGACUUUAAUUAAAAAAACAAAACAAAACAAAACUCCAAGCCAGAACUACCCAACUGGAAUUUGAGAGCUGCUUUCAAAUCCUGACCCGUAGAAACUUAGAUAAUAAAUGUUUGUUGUUUAAAGCCACUCAUUUUUAGAUAAAUUUGUUAUGCAGCAAUAGCUAGCUAGUACAGAGAAUUAACCAGCCUCUCUUAAAUUACCACCACAAAAUCAACUACCUAUUUUAUUAAAAGGUAAAACCAGCUGCUGAAGAACAUUUUUCCUCUCAAGGCUUUGGCACUUAAGAUUCAACAGUAAGAAGGAUUGAAGAGUAAAGGCUUCCUGGCUACCCUCUGGCAUCCUGUGUUUGGUCUGAAGCCUCAUAAGCCUGGGUUAUUCUUCCAGUCCACCUUGUAAGAGACUGAUGUGGAAAAAUGUGUCUCUUCUCAAGGGCUAACUCUGAAACUUUGGGAAAAUAUUCUAGAUUUGGAUCAUACUAAAAUGGGUAUUAGACCUAGGUUCUAGUUCCAGCUCUAAGAUCUGGAUGUGUCAAAAUCCUUUUCCCUUUGUAGGUUUUAAGUUUGGCCUCUUUAAAUAAAGAAACAAUCACCCAUGCUUUGUCUUUUAACUUGCUACUUAAAACAAGGAGCUGAAGACACUGGCCAUCAUCAAAAAACUAAUGGACAAUUCCCACUGCCUCGCUGAAAUUUGCAGUCUGACUCUCACCAUCUCUUGCCUUUUUUUUUUUUUUUUCCUUUGGCUGUGUUUGUGAAACUGCCUUUGCAAAGAUUAUGAGAGGGAGUCUACCAUGGCCAACUCCAUCUUGCUUGUAGCCUCAUGGGCUGGCUUCCCUUGCUCAUUCCUAGCCAUAGGCCAAGCUAACCAUGGGAGGAAUUUAGUUUAUAGUUUAACUUUGAAGGAAGGAUGAUAAUAUUUUAUCCCUAA